rnacentral:rRNA from 1 species
CCUACGGGUGGCAGCAGUGAGGAAUAUUGGGCAAUGGGCGCAAGCCUGACCCAGCCAUGCCGCGUGAGUGAAGAAGGUCUUCGGGUUGUAAAGCUCUUUCGGACGGGACGAUAAUGACGGUAGCGACUAAGGAAGCACCGGCAAACUUCGUGCCAGCAGCCGCGGUAAUACGAAGGGUGCGAGCGUUGUUCGGAGUUACUGGGCGUAAAGGGAGUGUAGGCGGAUAUGUAAGAUAGCGGUGAAAUGCCGGGGCUCAACCCCGGAACUGCCAUUAUGACUAUUUACCUAGAGUAAUGGAGAGGAAAGCGGAAUACCUGGUGUAGAGGUGAAAUGCGUAGAUAUUGGGUAGAACACCGGUGGCGAAGGCGGCCAUCUGGACAUUAACUGACGCUGAGGCUCGAAAGCAUGGGUAUCAAACAGGAUUAGAUACCCGAGUAGUC